CCCAACAGCAAUGCUGGGAAGGAAAAGGUAUAUUUUCUCUUACAGGUUUCAACUCACCAUUGAAAGAAGUCAAGGCAGGAACUUGCAGGCAGGCCUAUUUGACAUUCCAUGCCAUUACCUCUCACCAGGUUAUCCUCCCAGGUAAACAUGACUUUCUGGCUUUUGGUGGCUGGGUACUGCUACAGGACUCUGCAUCUCUGGAAUCCAACAAACCCAACCACUGAAAUCUUCACUGUAAGACAAGGCCUAUAGUGAAGUGAGCAUGGAAAUCUUCGAGGUGCAAAUUUAGUUCACAAAGUACUGUUGGAAGGUGGCCCACCAUUUUAUCUUCAAAUACAGCCAGCCACUGAAACUGUUCAUGGGAUCCUAUCCUUGAGGUACCAAUAUAAGGUCUCUCUACAGUGGUCCACCUCAGCCACAGGAAGCCUCUCCAUCCUCCAUCCCAACCCAAAGACCUGAAAUUAAAGACCAUCUCUGCUUAAACACAAACUUCUCCCAGGAAAGCAUGCAUUCUGACAGCUCAACAGCUACUAGUUUGUUAGCAUCAUGACAAUCAAUGGCUCAAAUUUCAGAUGCAAGAAAAGUUCUAUGGAUCAAGUAACACAAAGCCUGUCACUUGCUAUGAAGCUUAAUUUGUAGAAAAGAAAGACUAUCUAUCGAGCAAAAGGAAGUAGCUCCAGAAGACCAAGGACCAGUAAUGCACCAGCUGGAGAAGAAAAAAGGAGACAUGUACCCUUGAACGAGAGGCCACUUGGCAUCAGAAGACAGCCAUCACAGGAGCACACUGGCCCAUCUUUCCCUCUCUAAUAAAAGCUCUGUGUAUA